AUUGAACGCUAGCGGGAUGCUUUACACAUGCAAGUCUAACGGAGUGGCGGACGGGUGAGUAAUAUAUCGGAACGUGCCCAGUAGCGGGGGAUAACUACUCGAAAGAGUGGCUAAUACCUCAUACUAUUGGAGCGGCCGAUAUCGGAUUAGCUAGUUGGUGGGGUAAAGGAUCACCAAGGCAACGAUCCGUAGCUGGUUUGAGAGGACGACCAGCCACACUGGGAAUGAGACACGGCCCAGACUCCUACGGGAGGCAGCAGUGGGGAAUUAUGGAAAAUGGGGGAAACCCUGAUCCAGCCAUCCCGCGUGUAUGAUGAAGGCCUUCGGGUUGGAAAGUACUUUCAGCGGGGAGGCGUUACCCGCAGAAGAAGCACCGGCUAACUCCGUGCCAGCAGCCGCGGUAAUUC
rnacentral:rRNA from 1 species